UACGUAGGCAGCGAGCGUUGUUCGGAGUUACUGGGCGUAGAGAGUGCGUAGGCGGUUUUCUAAGUUUGGUGUGAAAUCUCCCGGCUUAACUGGGAGGGUGCGCCGAAGACUGGAAGGCUUGAGUAUGGGAGAGGUAAGCGGAAUUCCUGGUGUAGCGGUGAAAUGCGUAGAUAUCAGGAGGAACACCUGCGGUGUAGACGGCUUACUGGACCAUCACUGACGCUGAGGCACGAAAGCGUGGGUAGCGAACAGG
rnacentral:rRNA from 1 species